rnacentral:rRNA from 1 species
GACGAACCCUGGCGGCGCGCUUAACACAUGCAAGUCGAGCGAGAACCGGCCUUCGGGCCGGGGAAAGCGGCGAACGGGUGAGUAACACGUGGGUAAUCUGCCCUCGGCACCGGGAUAGCCCGGGGAACCCCGGAUUAAUACCGGAUGGCCCUUUGAGUCCUCGGAUUCCAAGGAAAAGGUAGCUUCGGCCUCCGGCCGAGGAUGAGCCCGCGGCGGAUUAGCUUGUUGGUUGGGUAACGGCCUACCAAGGCGACGAUCCGUAGCUGGUCUGAGAGGACGAUCAGCCACACUGGGACUGAGACACGGCCCAGACUCCUACGGGAGGCAGUAGUGGGGAAUCUUGCGCAAUGGGCGAAAGCCUGACGCAGCGACGCCGCGUGAGGGAAGAAGGCCUUCGGGUUGUAAACCUCUUUCAGGAGGGACGAAGCCACUCGGGUUAAUAGCCCAGAGGGUGACGGUACCUCCAGAAGAAGCCCCGGCUAACUACGUGCCAGCCGCCGCCGUAACAC